GUUCGGCCCCGCUGGGCUGACGGCCGCGCCCGGCCUCCCGCGGCCUCGGCUGGGCGUAGAGAACUGCUGGUUUCCAGGGAGCAGGGAGAUGCUCGUGUACUUCCACUGGCCUAUCCUGCUGCUGAUGUCGGCCAACGUGGGCUUCUUCGUCGUCACAGCCUGGAACCUGCGCCGCGGCGAGAGCGACGCUGCGGCUGUGCGCAAGCGGAAGAACAUCGCAGAAAGACUCAAGAUAUACGUGAACUUGUUCGUCGUCAUGGGA